rnacentral:rRNA from 1 species
UACGUAGGGGGCUAGCGUUGUCCGGAAUCAUUGGGCGUAAAGCGCGCGUAGGCGGCCAGAUAAGUCCGGUGUGAAAGUCGAGGGCUCAACCCUCGAAUGCCGGUGGAUACUGUCGGGCUAGAGUCCGGAAGAGGCGAGUGGAAUUCCUGGUGUAGCGGUGAAAUGCGCAGAUAUCAGGAGGAACACCGAUGGCGAAGGCAGCUCGCUGGGACGGUACUGACGCUGAGACGCGAAAGCGUGGGGAGCAAACAGG